CUACGGGUGGCUGCAGUGGGGAAUAUUGCACAAUGGGCGCAAGCCUGAUGCAGCCAUGCCGCGUGUAUGAAGAAGGCCUUCGGGUUGUAAAGUACUUUCAGCGGGGAGGAAGGGAGUAAAGUUAAUACCUUUGCUCAUUGACGUUACCCGCAGAAGAAGCACCGGCUAACUCCGUGCCAGCAGCCGCGGUAAUACGGAGGGUGCAAGCGUUAAUCGGAAUUACUGGGCGUAAAGCGCACGCAGGCGGUUUGUUAAGUCAGAUGUGAAAUCCCCGGGCUCAACCUGGGAACUGCAUCUGAUACUGGCAAGCUUGAGUCUCGUAGAGGGGGGUAGAAUUCCAGGUGUAGCGGUGAAAUGCGUAGAGAUCUGGAGGAAUGCCGGUGGCGAAGGCGGCCCCCUGGACGAAGACUGACGCUCAGGUGCGAAAGCGUGGGGCAAACAGGAUUAGAUACCCUCGUAGUC
rnacentral:rRNA from 1 species